UAAUAAGUGUUUUAUGGCACUUUUUAAAUCCAUAUCCACCUUGUGUGCAAUGUCAGUCGAUCUUCUUCAUGGAGAUCGACCAAACAUCAGCCCUUAUCUUUCUAACUCUUUGUCUGAAAAAUAUUAUGAAUAAACAAUUCAAAAUA
rnacentral:misc_RNA from 1 species